rnacentral:rRNA from 1 species
GACGAACGCUGGCGGCGUGCUUAACACAUGCAAGUCGAACGGAAAGGCCCUGCUUUUGUGGGGUGCUCGAGUGGUGAACGGGUGAGUAACACGUGAGUAACCUGCCCUUGACUUUGGGAUAACUUCAGGAAACUGGGGCUAAUACCGGAUAGGAGCUCCUGCUGCAUGGUGGGGGUUGGAAAGUUUCGGCGGUUGGGGAUGGACUCGCGGCUUAUCAGCUUGUUGGUGGGGUAGUGGCUUACCAAGGCUUUGACGGGUAGCCGGCCUGAGAGGGUGACCGGCCACAUUGGGACUGAGAUACGGCCCAGACUCCUACGGGAGGCAGCAGUGGGGAAUACUGCACAAUGGGCGGAAGCCUGAUGCAGCAACGCCGCGUGCGGGAUGACGGCCUUCGGGUUGUAAACCGCUUUCGCCUGUGACGAAGCGUGAGUGACGGUAAUGGGUAAAGAAGCACCGGCUAACUACGUG